UACGUAGGGCGCAAGCGUUAUCCGGAAUUAUUGGGCGUAAAGAGCUCGUAGGCGGUUUGUCGCGUCUGCCGUGAAAGUCCGGGGCUCAACUCCGGAUCUGCGGUGGGUACGGGCAGACUAGAGUGAUGUAGGGGGAGACUGGAAUUCCUGGUGUAGCGGUGAAAUGCGCAGAUAUCAGGAGGAACACCGAUGGCGAAGGCAGGUCUCUGGGCAUUAGCUGACGCUGAGGAGCGAAAGCAUGGGGGAGCGAACAGG
rnacentral:rRNA from 1 species